GAAGCUCAGGGAAAGAGUAUCUGCUUCGCAUGCAGAGGAUCCCAGGUUCAAUUCCUGGCAACUCCA